GGCCCCCUGUGGUAAACGAGGUGCCGCCAGGCGUGCUGCCCCUUUCUCGUUAAUUACCAAGGGCCCUUGUACGAGCCAGCCUGCGGCGGCGUGCUGGACGCCAGCUGAUUGGGGUGACCGCAGCUAAUAAUUUGUUUCCCCGGACUGCAGCUGAUAACCUCUCAUCUUGACCCUAUCCUGGAUGCACAUCCUGAAACUACAUGAUGCCAAGACUAAAAUGAUACAAGCAAAACUGUGCAAGCUGGAAAGAAAUCUGAAGAAAAACAGCCAGGACUCUUGUCUUCCUUUCAGUCUAACUGCCCUAGGUCAAGUUGCUGUCAGUCUUAAAUCUGCUGAACACAUCAUUUUUGGGCUAUUUAAUGGCUCAUAAUAAAAAACAGUAUCUACAAACUUCAUCCUAACAAUAAUUUUGCUCUUGUUAUUUGCAGAAUAAUUAAAUAUUACUAUAUCUCAAACCAAGUAUGAGAACUGUAUCUAACAGAGGCUCCAACUGCUUGGUUUCUCCCUUUAAAACAGUUUGCAAAAGCACCACUGCUUUCCCCAUAGCUGCUGGUCAACAUCUGCUGUAGGAAUCGCCCUCAGCAUCCCUGUUGGAGCACAUCUGUGGUACUGACCUCAUCCCUGGCCUCCACUGAGUCACAAAGCUGUCCCCCUCUCAGGGAACACAACCCAUCAGACGUGCGAGAGCUGAAGAUAAAGAAUUGUCCAUGUCUUCUCUGCUGAGGGAUUUGCUAGGACAGAAUCUGGGAUGAAUAAUUUUGU